rnacentral:rRNA from 1 species
AGCAGCCGCGGUAAUUCCAGCUCCAAUAGCGUAUAUUAAAGUUGCUGCAGUUAAAAAGCUCGUAGUUGAAUUUCGGGACUAAUAUGUCGGUCGUGCCUCGGUACGUACUGGCUUAUUGGUUUCUCCUUUCUGAAGAACCAUGAUGUCAUUUAUUUGGUGUCGUGGGGAAUCAGGACUGUUACUUUGAAAAAUUAGAGUGUUUAAAGCAGGCUCACGCUUGAAUACAUUAGCAUGGAAUAAUGAAAUAGGACGUUUGAUUCUAUUUUGUUGGUUUCUAGGAUCGACGUAAUGAUUAAUAGGGAUAGUUGGGGGCAUUAGUAUUCAAUUGUCAGAGGUGAAAUUCUUGGAUUUAUUGAAGACUAACUACUGCGAAAGCAUUUGCCAAGGAUGUUUUCAUUAAUCAAGAACGAAAGUUAGGGGAUCGAAGACGAUCAGGUACCGUCGUAGUCUUAACCAUAAACUAUGCCGACUAGGGAUCGGAUGAUGUUAAUUUUUAAUGACUCA